GUUGUUGUGUGAGCGGAUGGCGUUGUCUGAUUGUGGUGUGAUGUGAGUUUAUUUAUGUUAAAAAUCUACACAGUGAUCUUAUUUGAUCUGGUCGGAGUACGGCUCCGCUUCGAUCAGAGAUGAUAGGAAACAGCGCCCUCGAGCCUCCGAGGCGGUGAGCGGUGGCGAGAGUUUCUGGGCCUCCACGCUGUGGUCGGAGAUGAUGAGUUGGAUCAGAUAUACUAGUUCUGGGUGCGUUUGGGUUCGUCUCAAGCCUCUCGAUGGACGAUGAGUAAAUCAGCGAUUCUGAUCCGA
ensembl:scaRNA Small Cajal body-specific RNA 2